CAGCAUGACGAAAACUUGGAAGGGACAUAGAUUGACUGGAAAAGGUUGGCGUCAACGGCCUUCCUGUUGAGACUGGCA
rnacentral:snoRNA from 1 species